UACGGAGGGUGCAAGCGUUAAUCGGAAUUACUGGGCGUAAAGCGUGCGUAGGUGGUUCGUUAAGUCCGUUGUGAAAGCCCCGGGCUCAACCUGGGAAUGGCAGUGGAUACUGGCAAGCUAGAGUGCGGUAGAGGGGUGUGGAAUUCCCGGUGUAGCGGUGAAAUGCGUAGAGAUCGGGAGGAACACCAGUGGCGAAGGCGGCACCCUGGACCAGCACUGACACUGAGGCACGAAAGCGUGGGGAGCAAACAGG
rnacentral:rRNA from 1 species